rnacentral:rRNA from 1 species
CUACGGGUUGCUGCAGUGGGGAAUAUUGCACAAUGGAGGAAACUCUGAUGCAGCAACGCCGCGUGGAGGAUGACACUUUUCGGAGCGUAAACUCCUUUUAUAUAGGAAGAUAAUGACGGUACUAUAUGAAUAAGCACCGGCUAACUCCGUGCCAGCAGCCGCGGUAAUACGGAAGGUGCAAGCGUUACUCGGAAUCACUGGGCGUAAAGAGCGUGUAGGCGGGUUAAUAAGUCAGAAGUGAAAUCCUAUGGCUCAACCAUAGAACUGCUUUUGAAACUGUUAACCUAGAGUGUGGGAGAGGUAGAUGGAAUUUCUGGUGUAGGGGUAAAAUCCGUAGAGAUCAGAAGGAAUACCGAUUGCGAAGGCGAUCUACUGGAACAUAACUGACGCUGAGACGCGAAAGCGUGGGGAGCAAACAGGAUUAGAUACCCCUGUAGUC